UAGGGAAUCUUCGGCAAUGGGGGCAACCCUGACCGAGCAACGGCGGGUGAAUGAAGAAGGUUUUCGGAUCGUAAAGCUCUGUUGUAAGAGAAGAACGUGUGUGAGAGUGGAAAGUUCACACAGUGACGGUAACUUACCAGAACGGGACGGCUAACUACGUGCCAGCAGCCGCGGUAAUACGUAGGUCCCGAGCGUUGUCCGGAUUUAUUGGGCGUAAAGCGAGCGCAGGCGGUUUAAUAAGUCUGAAGUUAAAGGCAGUGGCUUAACAAUUGGUCGCUUUGGAAGCUGUUGAACUUGAGUGCAGAAGGGGGGAGUGGAAUUCCAUGUGUAGCGGUGAAAUGCGUAGAUAUAUGGAGGAACACCGGUGGCGAAAGCGGCUCUCUGGUCUGUAACUGACGCUGAGGCUCGAAAGCGUGGGGGGCAAACAGG
rnacentral:rRNA from 1 species